UCUCAUCUACUCUGUUGUCUUAGCUGUGAUCACUCCGUAACAAGUGCUGUUACCUUACAUCGCCUUUGUGUGUGCAAGCAGAAUGGGCAUCGAUACUAGUACUACUAUCUGGCUGGCGUGUAUUGGGCUAAUCAUCUCUCCUGCAUACGGAUGGUUCUGGCGACCGAAACCAAUCUCAUUCCCGUGUCAUCAGCCAUUGCCUUCUGCUCCCGUCUACGGCAGUGUGAGUCGAAGUUCCCACAGCAGUGGAAUGUUUGUAUAUCAAGUCGUCACGUACAGUUGUUUUCCCGGAUACAAACUGAUCGGAGUGUCGAGACGGACUUGUGCGAUUGUGUGGAACCACGAGAAUCCCGUUUGUCAACUGG